UGUUGGAGAAUAGAAUUUAGUUAAAAAUCACUGGUUUUCCAACUUUUUUCUUUUCUUUUUUUUUUUAGUUGAAAUAACAAUACUUCUGCUCGUUGCCGCCCAGUUUGACAAAUGAAAUCUCACAUCAAAUCCGCAGAUGUGGAGAAGGGACUUGCAGACGCAGUGGGGACUGUGCAGAUUUGGAACUCUACAAUAGCACUGGGUCUGUCUGUCAGUUGGUGACACCAGCCUGGAGCAGCCCAGAUAAGAGCCCUCAAGGGAUGUUCCUGGCACUGGAGGAGGGGACCUGAGGCCAAGGAAGCAGAUACUGGAUGAACUUCAAGGGCACAGCAAGUUUGGCUAGGGGUCGGGUGUGCGAAUGAAAAUUUUUUAGAACACUGUAGCAUUUGUGAUUUAGUUUCUGUUCAUUAAAACCACCUUCUUCAGGGCA
rnacentral:lncRNA from 1 species